GAAAGGAGCAGGGGACCGGGGAGGAGGAGGAGGAAGAGUAGCCGUCUUCCCGUUCCCCGGUGAUGAAGAGUGGAUAGUGGCCUACCAGCUCGAUGAAGAAGCGAACAAAGGCCUCGGACACAACGGUGCUAAGCUGCGAGCUCUCUCCUCCUCUCCAGAACAUUCUCCAGGGCUGACUGGAGUUUAGAGGGCAGGAUGGAGUCCUCAUCGUCCAACUGAACGUGACAAAACAGGAUUUUAAAGCCAUUUGCAGUCCACAGAGCAUGGCCUACCUGUCUGAGAAAUCGAUUGUUUCCAAGAUCUACAACCAGAACCUGCACAUAGAAGACCGGGCAGCUCAGUGAGCUGAGGCAGGGUACUGGACAGCAGGCCGACGAUGAACGGCGUCGGAGUGCAGACGAUGUCGAGCAUCGCCGUGGGCAGCACGGGGAUGUAAGUGUGCUGCCAUACGAAGGGGUAAAGCAGCGCCACGACAGCAUGGCAGCACUGGGAGAGAGUACUGAGAGGACAGACAGAGGGGCAAUGGAAAUGCUUUUAACUGCAUGUUUAAAGCUGACACGAUCCAUUUUUGCUUUCGUUCUGGAGGAGGGGAGGACAGAAGGAUACAGAAACAUACUCCUCCUCACCACAUGAGUGUGCUGUUGUCUAAAAUACCGUCCGGUCACUUUUAAUAUUCCCCAAAGUUAACAGCGUUUCCCAGAGAGGAAAGCAAAUCCACAUACUUCUUUCAUUUACGUCACUCAACUUUGCAUUCCGGCCAUCUACUAGUGUGACCGCUCUUUCUGACUCCCACUGGCUUUCUCCUGCAGAACAAACAAACUGGCCCCCGGCACGAAGAAACUCAACGGACCGGCCUCAAAAUAUCUCUCUGGCAUGUUCCCUGAAUAAAACUGGGCCUGCCAUAGAUUUAUUUUAAAAUCUGGGUCUGGACCACCCACAUUUCUGAUAACUUUAUAAUGAAAACCUCCCUGCUGCUUGCACCUAAUAUCUGCCGGCUCCAUAAUUACAUAAACAGUGAGGGAAAGGAUGUUCGGUGCAACAUCAUA